UUCCGGCUCCAAUAGCGAAUACUAAUUCUGCUGCAGUUAAAAAGCUCGUAGUUGGAUCUCAACAGCCUUGAAGCGGUUAACUUUGCAGUUUUACUGCUUUAUAGGCUGUGCUUUUGCUGGAGGUUUAGGGGUGCUCUUGAUCGAGUGUCUCUGGAUGCCAGCAGGUUUACUUUGAAAAAAUUAGAGUGCUCAAAGCAGGCUAAAAUGCCUGAAUAUUCGUGCAUGGAAUAAUAGAAUAGGAUGUCGAUCCUAUUUUGUUGGUUUUCGGGACUCGACAUAAUGAUAAAUAGGGACAGUCGGGGGCAUUUGUAUUCAAACGACAGAGGUGAAAUUCUUGGACCGUUUGAAGACAAACUACUGCGAAAGCAUUUGCCAAGAAUGUUUUCAUCA
rnacentral:rRNA from 1 species